GACGAACGCUGGCGGCGUGCUUAACACAUGCAAGUCGAACGGAAAGGCCCUUCGGGGUACUCGAGUGGCGAACGGGUGAGUAACACGUGGGUGAUCUGCCCUGCACUUUGGGAUAAGCCUGGGAAACUGGGUCUAAUACCGAAUAAGACCACGCGCUUCAUGGUGUGUGGUGGAAAGCUUUUGCGGUGUGGGAUGGGCCCGCGGCCUAUCAGCUUGUUGGUGGGGUAAUGGCCUACCAAGGCGACGACGGGUAGCCGGCCUGAGAGGGUGACCGGCCACACUGGGACUGAGAUACGGCCCAGACUCCUACGGGAGGCAGCAGUGGGGAAUAUUGCACAAUGGGCGCAAGCCUGAUGCAGCGACGCCGCGUGAGGGAUGACGGCCUUCGGGUUGUAAACCUCUUUCAAUAGGGACGAAGCGCAAGUGACGGUACCUAUAGAAGAAGCACCGGCCAACUACGUG
rnacentral:rRNA from 1 species